rnacentral:lncRNA from 1 species
CACAGCAUCAAUUGUUGUUAGUUUUGAGAAGGUUGCAAACAUUCCCUCAACUUUUUUAGGCAAAAAAUGGAGACUAUGCAACAGUUUGGAAAGCCUUUCUCUACUUUUACACUAAUUAUCCUUUUGACGGGAUAAAAGCAGAAAGAUUAGUGAAUUAGGCAAACAUCAGAAGAACAACUAGGUUUUCUUUUAAAACACAAACGUCUAGAUUCCUUGGGAGUAAGAGAUAAAGAGUGGACUGAGAUUCGAAAGGCAGGACAGCAGCAUUUGGAAAGCCUUUCUCUACUUUUACACUAAUUAUCCUUUUGACGGGAUAAAAGCAGAAAGAUUAGUGAAUUAGCCAAACAUCAGAAGAACAACUAGGUUUUCUUUUAAAAUACAAACGUCUAGAUUCCUUGGGAGUAAGAGAUAAAGAGUGGACUGAGAUUCGAAAGGCAGGACAGCAGCAUUUGACUCAAAUCACGAUUCGAAAGAUAAAAUCACAACGUAUAAAUACAUAAAAGAAAGAAAAACCCUGAUCGUUCUUACCAAUCAAAACAUCACUUUUGAAUCGUCAAAAUUAAGUAUCCAGAAA